CAGCAGCCGCGGGAAUACGAAGGGUGCAAGCAUUACUCGGAAUUACUGGGCGUAAAGCGUGCGUAGGUGGUGGUUUAAGUCCGUUGUGAAAGCCCUGGGCUCAACCUGGGAAUUGCAGUGGAUACUGGGUCGCUAGAGUGUGGUAGAGGAUAGUGGAAUUUCCGGUGUAGCAGUGAAAUGCGUAGAGAUCGGAAGGAACAUCUGUGGCGAAGGCGACUAUCUGGGCCAACACUGACACUGAGGCACGAAAGCGUGGGGAGCAAACAGGAUUAGAUACCCCCGUAGUCCCUGUCUCUUAUAC
rnacentral:rRNA from 1 species